ensembl:lncRNA
UGCUGGUUGAGAUCAGCCAGCAGAAGACCUGGGGGGGGGGAGGCAAGAGAAUAGCUGAGCUAUGCCUGAUCCAAACCUCUCUCUAUCUAGACUCAGAGCCACUGUAUUGGUCCAAUGUUAGGCCAGGAUAAGGGCCAUCUAAAUGAUUUCCAGCAUCCCGGGCAAGGAGUGGGUUGUACUCUAUCCAGCCUCAGUCAGCCAUCUUGGAUAAUAGGUUUAUUCUGAGUAUACAUAUAGAAUUUCAGCCAAAAAGAUUCCUCACUUGUGUCCUGCAGCUCAUAUGCCAACAAUACUAUAUCUGCAAAUUAACUGGAGAAGUAAAAGACAUCAUUUAAAAUCCAAGGAGAGUGGUGAAAUUUCAUUACAAAGAUGUUUGAGGAAAGAGACAAUUCUUUAAAAAUCAUGAAGAAACUACCGCAAAAGCUAUUAAUGAAUCACAGCACUCCACUGGAAGUGUCAACACUCUCUAAAAAUAUGGUAUCCUUGCUAAAUCCAUCUGCACAUCUAUCUCCUGUACCAAAUAAAUCAUUUCAGCCUAUGCAGAGCUCUUGGGACUUGCUUCAGCAAAGACUAUCAAUAGAAAGUUAUCUUAAUGAAGAAACCAGCAACAGCUCCCCAUUCAUAUUUCCUAGAAGAAGGCUCUCAACUAUAGUAAGUUCAGAGGAGCCAUCUGUAGCCUUGCACCAAACAGUCAUUCCACCCAUGACAUCAAAGAAAAAAACUGAUGAUCUUGUGCAAUUGAACAUCCAAAGCAAUGAGGUCACCCCAGAGCAGAUGCCCAAUUGGCAAGAAACAACAACCUUUAAAGAACCAAUAGGAAGAAGGAAGAGAAAUAGGAAUAUAGUCAGAACGCUUGUGGAAAAAAGAAAAAGAGAGUGGGAAUUACGCCAGCUUCAAAACAUUGAAGAAGCUACUACCUAUGAACUGAUAAUUGAAGACAUUUGAAGCUGUAAAUGAGCAUGCAUCACCUAUAUUUUCUAUAGUUUGUUGCAGGGACAAGGUAGAAAGUUGAGAAGUAAAUUCUGAUAUGUAAGAUUCAGACAUCCUAAUUCUUUAUGGCAUUGUAAUUUGUACUGCUGAUAAAUGACUACCUUGUACGGAUCUAUCUACAAUAUACUUUGUUGUGCAAAAUCUACAACUUUAGUGACAAAUUAAUGAAUAAUUUCAACAGCAUGAAGAAGACUUCAGUUUGGUUGCUUCUAAAAUAAUCUAUGUUGGAAACAAUAUAUGUAUUUAUAGAGUAAUCACACAUGAUGCAAUGAAAAAUAUUUUUGCUCUUAGCAUAGGGAAAUAGCAAGAGGCACCAAAAACCGAGGACAGGAUUAAGUACUUAUUAACGACAUUUGUUUGGGAUAAUUUAUAUCUGGGUUCUUUCUCAAUGCAAUUGCUGUGUUUCAAUUUUCCUUUCCCUCUUAGUUUCAUAAUGUUCACAUAUAUACAUUACAUGUGAACUUCUAAAGCUGUCUGCUGCUCUAUGUUACUCACAGGAUGACCUUACAAUUUGUGGGGUCUGGUUAAGAGGAUAUCUCAAUUGUUUGGCAAAAGAGAGGAAGUGAGUCAAAGAGUCAUGCAGGAAGUUACCAAAGAUUCACCAGUACAUUGUUAACUUUGUGGGGAUGGGCAAGUUAUUCAAGGCUAUGAAUAUGGCUGCAGCAGGUGUGGGAUUGACCCCACUCAACUAUAUGGACAGCAAUUGGCCUCAUGGCUUUCUGCACAGCUUUGGAGCUGUGGCCUUUCACAUGCACAUGGCAAUCAACCCCUCACUGAGAUGAGAUGAACAGAACCCACAACUUUGGCUCCAACUUAUGAUGCAUGCCACGCCUUCACUCAAUAAACAAUAUGAUAGUGGGCUACCUAGUACA